rnacentral:misc_RNA from 1 species
GAUGAAGAACGUAGCGAAAUGCGAUAAGUAAUGUGAAUUGCAGAAUUCAGUGAAUCAUCGAAUCUUUGAACGCACCUUGCGCUCCUUGGUAUUCCGAGGAGCAUGCCUGUUUGAGUGUCAUUAAUAUAUCAACCUUCUCUUUUUUGAGUUGUUUGGAUGUGGGGGUUUGCUGGCCUCUUAAAUGAUUCAGCUCCCCUGAAAUGCAUUAGCAGAACAACCUGUUCAUUAGCGUGAUAAUUAUCUAUGCUAUUGAAUGUGAGGGCAGUUCAGCUUUCUAACCGUCCUUGGACAGUUCAUCAUUAAUGUGACCUCAAAUCAGGUAGGACUACCCGCUGAACUUAAGCAUAUCAAUAAGCGGAGGA